GACGAACGCUGGCGGCGUGCUUAACACAUGCAAGUCGAACGGAAAGGCCCUGCUUUUGUGGGGUGCUCGAGUGGCGAACGGGUGAGUAACACGUGAGUAACCUGCCCUUGACUUUGGGAUAACUUCAGGAAACUGGGGCUAAUACCGGAUAGGAGCUCCUGCUGCAUGGUGGGGGUUGGAAAGUUUCGGCGGUUGGGGAUGGACUCGCGGCUUAUCAGCUUGUUGGUGGGGUAGUGGCUUACCAAGGCUUUGACGGGUAGCCGGCCUGGGAGGGUGACCGGCCACAUUGGGACUGAGAUACGGCCCAGACUCCUACGGGAGGAAGCAGUGGGGAAUAUUGCACAAUGGGCGGAAGCCUGAUGCAGCAACGCCGCGUGCGGGAUGACGGCCUUCGGGUUGUAAACCGCUUUCGCCUGUGACGAAGCGUGAGUGACGGUAAUGGGUAAAGAAGCACCGGCUAACUACGUG
rnacentral:rRNA from 1 species